UGGGGAAUAUUGGACAAUGGGCGAAAGCCUGAUCCAGCCACGCCGCGUGAGUGAUGAAGGCCUUCGGGUCGUAAAGCUCUGUGGGGAGGGACGAACGUCCCGGCGUAGAGCCGGGGGUGCCGGUACCUCCUUAGCAAGCACCGGCUAACUUCGUGCCAGCAGCCGCGGUAAUACGAAGGGUGCAAACGUUGCUCGGAAUCAUUGGGCGUAAAGCGCACGUAGGCGGCCUCGCAAGUCUGAUGUGAAAUCCCUCGGCUCAACCGAGGACGUGCAUCGGAAACUGCGGGGCUUGAGUACUGAAGAGGAUCGCGGAAUUCCCGGUGUAGAGGUGAAGUUCGUAGAUAUCGGGAGGAACACCAGUGGCGAAGGCGGCGAUCUGGGCAGAUACUGACGCUGAGGUGCGAAAGCGUGGGGAGCAAAC
rnacentral:rRNA from 1 species